GCAGCACACGCUCACCAGCGGUUAGGCAUGGAUUGGCCGGAUUUAAUUCAGCUAUAGAAUGAUCUCUCACCAGGGCGGCCCCCGGGCAUCUGAGGACCCUGGGGGGUGGCAGGUGCCUUGCUACCCAAACCCUCAAUCAGAAGCCCCACAAUGGAAGCAGCGGUCUGCUCCUGUGAAGACUGGUGUGCCUACUUUCUCAGGGACUGGGCCAAGACUGUGGAAUGGACUCCCGCAGGAACUAAGGACCAUCACAAAGCUCAGCACCUUCUGCUCUAAGUUCAAGGCUCCUUUCUUUGACGUUGCCUUCUCUAACAUAAGCAUCUAGCAAAACGUAGUAUAUAUUAUUUUUUAAAAUCCAAACUAAAACAUUCCACUGCACACACUACUUCCCCUGGGGAGAGGAUGAGAGAACAAAUAUGUGGCAGAUGUUAGUCAUGUUGCUUAAUUCACUACUGAAAGGCACUCAGAUCCUAUGGCAAUGUGCACGGCAUAAAAACCUAUAUAGAAUAGAACUUUAACCAUAUGAAUUGUCCUACUGAAGUCAAUGGAAUUACUUACAUACUCAAAGAUAAGCAUAUGCAUUAAUGUUUGUGGGAUUAGGGUCAUGCGUUCAAAUUCACUCCUGUAUUCACUAAUGUAAAUUCACUAAUAUCAAUUAAGUUGCACUUUUGCACACUAGGUUUGAAUUUGUUCAAGAGAAAACCAUUCAGCAUCCUUUUAAGUCAACUGGAGUUGUGUGGACAUAUCUGAUAGCAUAGCUGGGAUCACUACAUUCUUAAUAUUGAAUAUAGCUCAGAGUUUAAAAGCUAAGAGAUCUGGGCACCCAAUUCCCAUUAAAGUUAAGGAAAAGUAAAAAAAGGAGAUUAAACCUAACCCUCUCAUAUCUCUGAUUAUUUUCCUGUAUUCUCCCACUGUUGCAUAGGGAAAAGUAUGUGCAAUUAUAGAUCUUCACAAGGAAAUAACAGCACAAAACCUUAUAUAUAGAAACUGAUUAAGAUUGUUAUUAUGCCGCUAUUUAGUCCCAUAAAUAAUUCUAAAAUGAGUGCACAUGUGUAAAACUGAUUAGUCAAUUGCUUGAAACUGUAUUAUUUUUUAAUUUAAAUUAUUGUAUGUUUGUGUGUAUUGCUAUGUAAAUUGACCUCACUGAGGACUAACUACUUAGAAAGUUUCAUCUUGUAAAUCUCAGGCAUUUUUGAUUUACUGUUUAUGCUAAUGGGGCUGAAAGACCCUAAUCUAACAAAGAUAUGUAUGUGGCAGUUAUGGAAAUAUUCACAUGCACACAGCUAAGUGCAUGUAUACGUUGUCACAGGUUUAGGGUUACAGUCUUUUUUAAUAGAAAUAUUUUUUCACUCUUCUACAGUUAAAUGGGGUGAAAAGAUUUUGCUCUAACUUGAAAAAAAACCUCACUUUAUGGCUGGGAUCACAUAUGGAAAAUUCCAGAUGAAAGGAAGAAUUUUCCAGAAAGUUAUGAGCAUGUGAAAACAAGGGCUUAUAAGGCAAGAGUCAGCCUUCACAACCAUCAAAAACUAAUUCAUGCUACAAACACAUGAGUCUGCUAUUGAAUCAUAUUUCUUUAAAUGCUGAUAUACAUUUUUCUUCUUGGUGGUGAGACUAGACACCAAAUAAUAUAAAUUAUAUUUCAGAAACCAAACACAGAGGUGGGCAGAAUUUGUACCUUGUUAUUAACUAUGUAUCUCACAUUUCCAUAGGUAACACUAUUAAACACACUUGGUAUUUCAGGCUA